AUAACCUGUGUAAAUGUGGUUUCUCGUGGCAGCCGAGGCUCAUGGGAAACUGUCCAAAUAGUAUUUAGUUAACCAUCAUUUAAAGUCAACAUUUGACGCCACCGUGACUUUUCCAUGGGCUUUUUUGCCACCGUAUAUCAUUUAUACUAGAAACUAUCACAUGUGUAUUUGUUUUAAAAAUGCCCAUGUAAUUAUAUUAAAGAUUUAAUUAAUUUCCGUGUCUAUUCCAGGUCUAGAAAUCACACGUUUAGAAGGAUACAUCCUCGUGUGGUUCUUCAAAGACCAAAACCAGUUAUUGUUGAGGAAUAUCUUGAUUAGUUUGUUUGAUUCGUCUCAUCUCAAGGCUGAUUGAAAGGCUCGUGUGGUUUGAUUAGAACAAUGCUUUUUGCUCUUCUGUUUCGGGUCUCUCGUCCCAUGAUGCCGUGCUGCUGAGAGCAGGAGAGCGGGGCAUGUUGUCACACAGGAUGGGUUUGUUCUCGAUUAGUAACCCUCGUCAAGCUCUGUAAAUAACGCUGUCUUCUGACUCAGACUGUGUUUGUAGGCCAUGUGUUUUCAGCUGAAUCACAUGCUGUUUGUUAUGGAAGCCUGUAAAAAAGUCAAAAGCUUUUUCAUGAUGCUGCAACAGCAAACGAGAGAAAUAUGACAGCAAAGAAACAAGAAGCCUGAGAGAAUCACACAAACAGGUCUCGUCUCCCAUAAUGCCGUGCCACAUGAGAGCGGGGCAUGCUGUCACACUGUUCUCAGGGCAUUUCUGCAUGUUCUUGAUCAUUUAACAGUAAACUGUAUUAUAGGCCAUUAAUGCAUUUUCUGCAACAGCUGAAUCACGUGCUGUUAUAUGGAAGUUUGUAAAAAUAAAUAAAUAAAUAA